CCUCCAACGGCAAUUUAUACGAGCUCUUUGUGGGUCUGUCUGCGUGAUGCAGUUGGCGAGAAUGACGUGGAGCAGUACUGUCAACUGUAGAUCGUAAAGCGAUGACUAGCGAAAAAUGUGUUCUACAUAAAGGUUGUGAGUGAGACGGUGAAUUUCUUAAUCUAUAAUUUGUUGCUAAAACUAGUUAUUCCCUACUGUUAACUUAUUCUAUCUAUUACUAAAUUGAAUCGAGACGUGAAAGUGAGCCAACAAGCUGGACCUGCAUGCGAAGGAUCCAGACAGUCAGUAUUCCUCAAAUUAACGAUUUGAGAUUCUGUUAAUCCUAAUUGACGUCGCUAGAAGAGAAACCGUAGUAAAAACAGGGAAACCUACAAACGAAAAAUUUAAUCUCGGUGCUCGACACUGCAAAUAAACCGGAUUGAAAAUUUUCGGAAAGCGUUUCUCUUGUUACAUCUGCAACAAUCUUAAAUUUUUCGUUUUCUGGAUCGAUCUACGAUGGCCAAUAGGAGGAACCCU